GUGUGAACUCGCGGUGUAUUCCACUACAGGUUGUGCAAACAAACGUCCAGAAAUUUGUGCAGACGUACUGUGGUCCCAGGCUGUUGCAGUUGAUGCACCGGCGAUUCUCCUGCAAUUUCAGAAGACCGCGAAUAAUCCGUUCGUUCUUCUCAUCCUCCUUCACUCGAUUCGCCAUAUAUCCCAACCAAAAUCAGCAUACAAAC
rnacentral:misc_RNA from 1 species